rnacentral:rRNA from 1 species
CCUACGGGUGGCAGCAGUGAGGAAUCUUGGUCAAUGGACGAGAGUCUGAACCAGCCAAGUAGCGUGAAGGAUGACUGCUCUAUGGGUUGUAAACUUCUUUUAUAUGGGAAUAAAAUGUUCAACGAGUGCCAUUUUGUAUGUACCAUAUGAAUAAGGAUCGGCUAACUCCGUGCAAGCAGCCGCGGUAAUACGGAGGAUCCGAGCGUUGUCCGGAUUUAUGGGGUUUAAGGGGAGCGUAGGUGGAUUGUUAAGUCAGUUGUGAAAGUUUGCGGCGCAACCGUAAAAUUGCAGUUGAAACUGGCAGUAUUGAGUACAGUAGAGGUGGGCGGAAUUCGUGGUGUAGCGGUGAAAUGCUUAGAUAUCACGAAGAACUCCGAUUGCGAAGGCAGCUCACUGGACUGCAACUGACACUGAGGCUCGAAAGUGUGGGUAUCAAACAGGAUUAGAUACCCUUGUAGUC